rnacentral:rRNA from 1 species
ACGGAAGGCAGCAGUGGGGAAUAUUGCACAAUGGGGGAAACCCUGAUGCAGCGACGCCGCGUGAGUGAAGAAGUAUUUCGGUAUGUAAAGCUCUAUCAGCAGGGAAGAUAAUGACGGUACCUGACUAAGAAGCCCCGGCUAACUACGUGCCAGCAGCCGCGGUAAUACGUAGGGGGCAAGCGUUAUCCGGAUUUACUGGGUGUAAAGGGUGCGUAGGUGGCAAGGCAAGUCAGAUGUGAAAGCCCGGGGCUCAACCCCGGUAUUGCAUUUGAAACUGUUUAGCUAGAGUGCAGGAGAGGUAAGUGGAAUUCCUAGUGUAGCGGUGAAAUGCGUAGAUAUUAGGAGGAACACCAGUGGCGAAGGCGGCUUACUGGACUGUAACUGACACUGAGGCACGAAAGCGUGGGGAGCAAACAGGAUUAGAUACCCUGGUA